UACGGGGGGAGCAAGCGUUGUUCGGAUUUACUGGGCGUAAAGGGCGCGUAGGCGGCCUCCGCAAGUCAGUUGUGAAAUCUCCGAGCUUAACUCGGAAAGGUCAACUGAUACUGCGGGGCUAGAGUGCGGAAGGGGCAACUGGAAUUCUUGGUGUAGCGGUGAAAUGCGUAGAUAUCAAGAGGAACACCUGAGGUGAAGACGGGUUGCUGGGCCAACACUGACGCUGAUGCGCGAAAGCCAGGGGAGCAAACGGG
rnacentral:rRNA from 1 species